GACGAACGCUGGCGGCGUGCUUAACACAUGCAAGUCGAACGGACAGGCGCUGCUUUUGUUGGGUGGUCGAGUGGCGAGCGGGGGAGAAACACGUGAGUAACCUGCCCUUGACUUAGGGGUAAAUUCAGGGAAAUGGGUCUAAUACCGGAGAGGAUCUUCUGCUGCAUGUGGUGGAUUGGAAAGUGUCGGCGGUGGUGGAUGGACUCGCGGCUUAUCAGCUGGAUUGGGGAGUAGGUACGUACCCAGGCUUUGACGGGUAGCCGGCCUGAGAGGGUGACCGGCCACCUUGGGACUGAGAUACGGCCCAGACUCCUAUGGGCCGCAGCAGUCGGGAAUCUUGCACAAUGGGCGGAAGCCUGAUGCAGCAACCUCGCGUGCGGGAUACCCGCCUUCGGGUUGUAAACCGCUUUCGACUGUGACGAAGAGUGAUUGACGGUACUGAGUAAAGAAGCACCGGCUAACUACGUG
rnacentral:rRNA from 1 species